rnacentral:lncRNA from 1 species
UCUACUCCGCCUCCGCCGCCAACAGGUUACAUUACUCCUUCUCCUCCACCGUCGACAGGUUACUCUCCUCCACCGUCUACGGGUUACUCUCCUCCAUCACCUCCGCCGUCUACGGGUUACUCUCCUCCAUCACCACCGUCUACGGGUUACUCUCCUCCAUCACCUCCGCCGUCUACGGGUUACGCUCCUCCGCCGUCUACGGGUUACUCUCCUCCGCCGUCUACGGGUUACUCUCCUCCAUCACCACCGCCUCACUCGCCGUCACCGCCAGUCCCUUACUACUAUAGCUCACCUCCACCACCACC